rnacentral:rRNA from 1 species
AACGAACGCUGGCGGCGCGUCUUAAGCAUGCAAGUCGAACGGCAAGAGAGAAGCUUGCUUCUCUCCUAGAGUGGCGGACUGGUGAGGAACACGUGGGUAAUCUACCCUUAAGAUGGGGAUAGCUGCUAGAAAUAGCAGGUAAUACCGAAUACACUCGGCAUAUCACAAGAGGUGUUGAGGAAAGGAAGCUACGGCUUCGCUUGAGGAUGAGCUUGCGUCCCAUUAGCUAGUUGGUGAGGUAAAGGCCCACCAAGGCGACGAUGGGUAUCCGGCCUGAGAGGGUGAACGGACACAUUGGGACUGAGAUACGGCCCAAACUCCUACGGGAGGCAGCAGCUAAGAAUAUUCCGCAAUGGACGGAAGUCUGACGGAGCGACGCCGCGUGGAUGAAGAAGGCUGAAAAGUUGUAAAAUCCUUUUGUUGAUGAAGAAUAAGGGUGAGAGGGAAUGCUCAUCUGAUGACGGUAAUCGACGAAUAAGCCCCGGCUAAUUACGUG